UGGAUUAGCCUUUAAGCUUAAUAGUCUCAGACAAAGCACUGGAUAUUGCUUUCCUUCUUCAACUCUUCAAUUGUACAACCUGCGGCGAGGAAAAUCCACCUUGAAAUAGUAAAAGAAGGAUCAUUCAAAUUCACAUCUUCCUCUGUUACUCUCAAAAGCCAAACAGAUUGUGGAACUUAUCGAAACAUACCAUGGGGCCCAGCAGUUGGGAGGAGUGGAGAGGUCAAAGUGCAUAUGGAAACCAUUUCCGGCUGGAGCUUGCCGCUUCUCAGUAUCAGAUAUUAAUGCGUCUGUUUACUUCUCCUCUUGCUCCAUGUACACGUCCUUAUGGCGCAUCGCCACCUUGUCAUCCAAGCUCGAGAUCCAGCAGUAAGAGUACUCCCGUACAUGGUUUCUACAGUGGUUUGGUCAUGCCAGUGGCGGCAGUUAACGAAGCACCAUUCUUUUGUAAGCCAGUUUAUUAUGUCAGUUGG
rnacentral:misc_RNA from 1 species